rnacentral:rRNA from 1 species
UCAUUAGUUUUUUAAUUGAAAGCUUGUAUGAAUGGUUUGAUGAGAAAAUUUCUUUCUAUAUUUAAUUUAUUAAAAAAUUUAUUUUUAAGUUAAAAAGCUUAAAUAUUGAUAAAAGACGAGAAGACCCUAUAGAGUUUAAUAUAAAAUAUAAUUUAAUUUUUUGGAAUUUAUUAUUUUAAAAUUGUAUAUUGUAUUUGAUUGGGGUGAUUGAAAAAUUUAAUUAACUUUUUUUAUUUAUUAACAUAAAUUUAUGAAUAUUUGAUCCAUAUUAAUGAUUAAAAGAAUAAAUUACCUUAGGGAUAACAGCGUUAUUUUUUUUUAAAGUUCUAAUCGAAAAAAAAGAUUGCGACCUCGAUGUUGGAUUAAAGUUAAUUUUAGGUGCAGAAGCUUGAA